GAAGCCCUGUGAAGUACGAAAUUCCAAAAGCUAUUGAUAGAGUUUAAAGCUGUUAAAAUAUCUUUACUGACAAGUAUGUUGUUAAAUCUAUCAAGUGAAUAUUGAAAUAACGAUGAAAUAGCUUUGACAGUGUUUUAUAACGCCUUUUAUAUUAUACAUUAGUAUAAUAAUAAAUUUGAAUCUUGGCAAGAUGUACCGUUUUAUUAGAGCAAUUUUUUAAACAAAAGUUACUGUUUGAAGUAUGCCCCAAACAUUCACAUCUUCGAUGUUCAUUUCUAUUAAACAUGGCCUAAUCAACAAAAUCCAAAACGCACGUUUUUUUCUAAUACACAAAGAUGAAAAUUAUUGAUCAUUUAUCCAAGAUAUAUGUAUGACGUAAAAUAUAAUGAAGAUAUAAUACACAUAAUUGAGAAGAUUAAAACGAUUUCGAAAUUAGUACGUAAAAACGCUAAAGAAAACCAUGGAUAGAAAAGAAUUGAUGGAACGUCUCGGGAAAUUACUUCCGUUGACCAAUUCGGGCACCGUCGAUCUGAUCUGGUCCAUAGCGAUCAUUAUUCUCGCGGUCAUAAUAUUCUUCACUUUGAGAAGAAGUUAACCGGAAGAUUUUGCAUGCGGCGUUGUACAGAAAGCAUUAUCAGGUUUAUCUUUUGCCCGGAAAAUGGAGCUUUGUUGUCCCUCCUUGUGUACAGCGGAAUGAUUGGAGUGCUAAUUGCUCGAACAAUCGCCUAUGUCGCACGUCGAGCUGAAUUCAGGCAAUCUAUUUACCACCUAAUUAUUUCCUCUAAUUUCUAUCUAAUUUCCUUUUGCAUCUUGAUUUGUGCCAAUUUACUUUCUAUACAUAUUAAUUUUCUUUACUACAUUUUAUACAACAUUAAUCGAGAAGGGCAACAUCAUUAACAAGAUAUUAUUAUUCGAAUUGCAUUUUAAACUUUAUAAUCACAUUCUAGAUUAUUGUAUUGAAAUGUUUUAAGAACAAUUUAAAGUUCACUGAACGAAGAAAUCAGAAAUCAAUUUUUUUUAAUAUUUAGAAGAGACUUUUCAGCCAGGCGCCGCUGAUUAAACCAAACUCUUCCAAUAAUUAGACAUAGAAUUUCUAGCUACAAUUUUAUUAAUCCUAAACCUAUAUUUUUGAUACCUUACGUAGACACCUAUGAAUCCCGAGAACUUUAUUAUUUAAUAAAAAUGUUUAAUAACAUUGUUGAAUAAAAAUUUAAUGACAGAGUUUUGAAAAAUUUCUCGAAUCCUACAGACCCAUAAAUGUCUACCUAUGGUUAAACUAUCUUAUAUGAUGAUUUGAAGGAGAUAGAAAAAUUACAUUUUUUAAAUAAUACAAAUAUUAAACAUUAGAUUUUUAUAUGUUAUACGAUAUAAAAACUUUUUACUAGGGAUACGUAUCGGAACCGUAUCCCUCGCGUAUGCGUGUCACGUGUGCUUUACAAUUGGAAUGGGGAAGUAUCUUCUUAUCCCCUGCGAUUUUCCAUGUUAGAAACGAGGAUUUUCGAGUGACGGUGCUCACCAGAUGACACGAUGACGCAGCUGCACAAGGAAGAAGAGGAUCAGGAGCGGCAAUUCGCGUGGCAGCAUCCUGCCAAUUGUCUUCGUUAUCCGGUCGGGAUUGUGUCAGUGAACGACGAGCGCGAUGGAGAACGUCAUCUCGCGAUAUCCUCGCAUCCCCUCGGCAUCCCCGUAACCGGCUCGCUGCCGCCACCGCCGCCGUUCUACAAUCACAGACGAAGGGAAGAACGCCCGUCGACCCUUUCCGUACACUUCCCGCCUGCUCAUCGCAACCCUUGACCCCGUAUACAUGCCACACGCAAUGUAUUCUACGCAAACACGCACUCAUGGAGUUAUUCCGCACGUGGGACAAAUUCAACGAUAACAUCCUUUGCAUCUACAAUAAGUCUAUCCGAAGAGGAAGGGAAGGGAGAUUAAUCCAACGGAUGAAAACGGUCGAGAAAGGUCCACGGAAGACUUAUCCUAUCAACUUAGUCUACAAAUCCUACGUGUUCUGUACUCCGGGUAAACUUAAUUAAUUUCAUUUCGAUAAAAAAAAAAUUUAUGAAUUGGACUUGAUUUCAUCAACGUCACACUAGGAAAAGAAUGUAAUACCUUUAACAAAAAAACUGUUUAAUUAAGGUAUUUCUUUAAUAGUAACCAAAUAUUUCGUUUUGUAUAACAAAAAUUUAGUUUUGUAGAAGCAAAUAAAUUUUUUGUUAAGAUGGCUA
rnacentral:lncRNA from 1 species